rnacentral:rRNA from 1 species
CAGUCAUGUCAUGUUGAAACCCCAGUUCUCAUACAAUCACCAAAGUUAAGCAACAUUGAGCCUGGUCAGUACCUAGAUGUGUGACCACUUGGGAAUACCAGGUGCUGUAG